CUCAGGACGAACGCUGGCGGCGUGCUUAACACAUGCAAGUCGAACGAUGAACCUGGAGCUUGCUCUAGGGAAUUAGUGGCGAACGGGUGAGUAACACGUGAGUAACCUGCCCUUGACUCUGGGAUAACCUCCGGAAACGGAAGCUAAUACCGGAUACGACGCACGGAGGCAUCUCCUGUGCGUGGAAAGAACUUCGGUCAAGGAUGGACUCGCGGCCUAUCAGGUAGUUGGUGAGGUAACGGCCCACCAAGCCUACGACGGGUAGCCGGCCUGAGAGGGUGACCGGCCACACUGGGACUGAGACACGGCCCAGACUCCUACGGGAGGCAGCAGUGGGGAAUAUUGCACAAUGGGCGCAAGCCUGAUGCAGCAACGCCGCGUGAGGGACGACGGCCUUCGGGUUGUAAACCUCUUUUAGUAGGGAAGAAGCGAAAGUGACGGUACCUGCAGAAAAAGCACCGGCUAACUACGUGCCAGCAGCCGCGGUAAUACGUAGGGUGCGAGCGUUGUCCGGAAUUAUUGGGCGUAAAGAGCUCGUAGGCGGUCUGUCGCGUCUGCUGUGAAAACCCGAGGCUCAACCUCGGGCCUGCAGUGGGUACGGGCAGACUAGAGUGCGGUAGGGGAGAAUGGAAUUCCUGGUGUAGCGGUGGAAUGCGCAGAUAUCAGGAGGAACACCGAUGGCGAAGGCAGUUCUCUGGGCCGUAACUGACG
rnacentral:rRNA from 1 species